ACGAUGAACGGGAGCUUGCUCCCUGGAUUAGUGGCGAACGGGUGAGUAACACGUGAGUAACCUGCCCUUGACUCUGGGAUAAGCACUGGAAACGGUGUCUAAUACCGGAUACGAACCUCCACUGCAUGGUGAGGGGUUGGAAAGAAUUUUGGUCAAGGAUGGACUCGCGGCCUAUCAGCUAGUUGGUGAGGUAAUGGCCCACCAAGGCGACGACGGGUAGCCGGCCUGAGAGGGUGACCGGCCACACUGGGACUGAGACACGGCCCAGACUCCUACGGGAGGCAGCAGUGGGGAAUAUUGCACAAUGGGCGCAAGCCUGAUGCAGCAACGCCGCGUGAGGGACGACGGCCUUCGGGUUGUAAACCUCUUUUAGUAGGGAAGAAGCGAAAGUGACGGUACCUGCAGAAAAAGCACCGGCUAACUACGUGCCAGCAGCCGCGGUAAUACGUAGGGUGCAAGCGUUAUCCGGAAUUAUUGGGCGUAAAGAGCUCGUAGGCGGUUUGUCGCGUCUGCUGUGAAAACUGGGGGCUCAACCCCCAGCCUGCAGUGGGUACGGGCAGACUAGAGUGCGGUAGGGGAGAUUGGAAUUCCUGGUGUAGCGGUGGAAUGCGCAGAUAUCAGGAGGAACACCAAUGGCGAAGGCAGAUCUCUGGGCCGUAACUGACGCUGAGGAGCGAAAGCAUGGGGAGCGAACAGGAUUAGAUACCCUGGUAGUCCAUGCCGUAAACGUUGGGAACUAGAUGUAGGGUCCAUUCCACGGAUUCUGUGUCGCAGCUAACGCAUUAAGUUCCCCGCCUGGGGAGUACGGCCGCAAGGCU
rnacentral:rRNA from 1 species